AGAUCACUAUAAAUCGUUUUC
rnacentral:snRNA from 1 species